rnacentral:rRNA from 1 species
AAGGAAUAUUGGACAAUGGUCGCAAGACUGAUCCAGCCAUGCCGCGUGCAGGAAGACGGCCCUAUGGGUUGUAAACUGCUUUUGUACCAGAGAAAACCUAUCUACGUGUAGAUAGCUGAUAGUAUGGUAAGAAUAAGCAUCGGCUAACUUCGUGCCAGCAGCCGCGGUAAGACGAAGGAUGCAAGCGUUAUCCGGAUUCAUUGGGUUUAAAGGGUGCGUAGGCGGGCUUGUAAGUCAGUGGUGAAAUCUCUCAGCUUAACUGAGAAACUGCCAUUGAUACUGCAGGCCUAGAGUAUAGAUGACGUUGGCGGAAUAUGACAUGUAGUGGUGAAAUACUUAGAUAUGUCAUAGAACACCGAUUGCGAAGGCAGCUAACGAAACUAUAACUGACGCUGAGGCACGAAAGUGCGGGGA